GUCGGCGCACCUCCUCGGGCACGUUGGCCGUGGCGAGGUUGCCGCGAUAGGCGCGCGCCGCCAGGUUGGCGAGGCCGCCCACACGCGACAUGGCCUCGUCUAUGGAGGCGACGGCUGCAGCGCGUCUCGCCAAGUCGAUGGCGGCCAGCACUUCGGCGGGCUCAAAGACGCGCGCCACAUAGGGCUGGUCGGCCCCGUUGUGCACUCUCCAAUCGUGCGACGCGUCGGUCACGCGCAUGGGCGCAAGUCCCGCCGCGUCGGGCCGUCCCUCGACGACGGCGCGCACAAACGGCAUCAACAGGUCCGUCACGAGACGCGGGUCGUUGUUUGACGCCUCGACGAUACGCGGCACUCUGUACAGGCCAUGCGCCGACAGAUCGAUGGGGGAAAGCGGCGCCGCGGCGCCGCCCGCGCUGACGACCGAGCCGGUGGUGUCUGACACGGCCACGCUUGCCACGACCCUGCCGUCUUGCGUGAUCAUGCCCACGUGCACGGGACCCACCGCGGGGCUCCACGCACCCAGAGGACCGUGCGCGCUGCCUCGGGCGACGACGACGACAUAGGGCGAUUCAAAUCCGCUCGGUGACACGUUGGGCCACCUCUGGCGCGCCUCAACAAUGUCGGCAGGCGGUGCCAGUUUGGGCGCGGCGGGAUCGAUGCGCACGCCGCCUAGGUCCUUGAUCGCGCGAUAGAUAUCGGACCCGAGAUACUCUAGGGCGCGGCUGCCGUCUGCCGCGUCCAACGGCGGCUGCGUCGCGAGCGACACGAUCAUGCCGUCCGAGUCAAGGGGCAAAUAGCCAAAGGCGUCGUGCACGGCUUCGGCCAUACGCACCGUCGCCGUCACGGGCGAGGGCGGCCACAGGCGCCCGCCCUCGGCCAACGGGUCCACCAGCGGCCGCACCCAUCCGGGUCCGUCGAUGCCUGGCGGAUACACGGCCGUUCCGUCGAGGGCCUUGUACGCCGACCCGACUCGAGGCUUGCUCAAAACCCUCAACAGGUAGCCAUACAGGAACGGGAGCGACUGGAGAUCGGGCAACGGCUCGCCGAGCCGCCAUCGCAUCGAAUACUGCUGAAGCAUUCGCAGCAGGGCAGACGCGCGCGGGUCCGUCGGCGUCGCACCCGAUCUGGUAACGCGGUCCAACCAUUGCUCGAUCGCCGCGGCCGAGUUCAGCCCGCUGUCGGCGGCCCAGCGGCGCACGUCGGACCACUCUGCCGGCGCCCGUUCCCGAUCCUGCGCGCCGAGAGCGUAUCCCCCUUGUGCCUGGGCGCCCGUCCCACUGCUGUCCAUGUCUUGGUCGUCAUGGGUGGAUGUGUGUUCUUGGCGCACACGUGUGGGUGACCUUUACCUGCAGGCGCGGGUGGUCGAUGUGCUCCACCAAACCGUGCGGCUCCCGCGGCGCACCCCCGCCGUAGCCCACAGCGCACCACGCACGCCGACGCACAUGCCCAGUGCUCGCGGGUAUCGAGGCCCCGCUCUACCAUUUUAUCCCAGGCGGAUCGCCGGAAACGGACAAUUUCAUUUCGCAAGCGCUUUUUUUUGCAAAUGUUUGGCUCUGUUUUUUUGGGCCUACUAAAUCCAUAUUUUAUCCAAAA
rnacentral:lncRNA from 1 species